AACUGGUGUGGUGCAGGGUUCCUGGCACCUUCCCUGCUGCCAGCAGGGAGGGACCCCCAGCCCCACCAGGCUCCAUCUCCUGGUACCACCUGC